rnacentral:pre_miRNA from 1 species
AAUAAAACAAUUUUUCAUUUUUUACCUACAAUUUUUGACCUUUUAUUUUAUUUAAAUUUUUUUUACGAUUGAUAUUUUUGUUUUUAUUAGAUUAUAAAUCAUGAAUAGUAUUUUACGUAUGACUAAUUUUUUUAAUUUUCUAAAAAAAUUUUAAAUAAGACGGAUGAUCAAACGUUAGACACGGAAACCGGAG